rnacentral:rRNA from 1 species
AACGAACGCUGGCGGCAGGCCUAACACAUGCAAGUCGAACGCGCGUAGCAAUACGCGAGUGGCGCACGGGUGAGUAACACGUGGGAAUCAACCCUGAGGUUCGGAAUAACCGCGGGAAACUGCGGCUAAUACCGGAUGUCCCCUAUGGGGGAAGAUUUAUCGCCUUGGGACGAGCCCGCGUCCGAUUAGCUAGUUGGUGAGGUAAUGGCUCACCAAGGCUACGAUCGGUAGCUGGUCNGAGAGGAUGACCAGCCACACUGGGACUGAGAUACGGUCCAGACUCCUACGGGAGGCAGCAGUGGGGAAUAUUGGGCAAUGGAGGCAACUCUGACCCAGCCAUGCCGCGUGGGUGACGAAGGUCUUCGGAUUGUAAAGCCCUUUCGGCGGAGACGAUGAUGACGGUAUCCGCAGAAGAAGCCCCCGCUAACUCGUGCCAGCCGCCGCGGUAAU